AGCUGAAACUCUGAAACUCAGACUCUUACAGCUCUGAAGUUUCCUGUUAAACAUGGCCAAAGUUUUAAAUAAUGAGGCCAGCAUGUGCACAGCUAGACGUUGAGAGGCCAAAGCUCAGGCUACAGACUGUGGUUUUGUCUUGUUUUUAUUUGUGGCUCUGAAUGUCAUCACUGAAAUGGGAUAUUUGUCUAUCAUCAUCUUAGGGGUACAGCCCGUCCUGUUAUCACAGAAGCCCCACUAACCACUGUUCAUUUUGUUUGUUUGCAAAGGGCAGUCAAUCAGCUGUUAACGCUGGAUGAGAAGUCUCCACCUGUAUUUACUCUAGAAGACUCUAUAGCACUGAAAGGAGUCCAAUACAGCAAACUUCUUUGUCAGUUUCCUGGUUACCAUUUUGUGCCCUGCAACAGUGAAGAUAUCAGCAAGAUGGAAACUCUGGAACAUAUGUCUAUGUUCUCAAAGCAUCGAUUUCAGAUGGUAUGGAACCUAAAAGUCUGAAGUCUUUCUGAUUAGAUAUCCAGCUUUUCUGAACCACAACUAUUUGUACCAGGAGGCAGUGUAAAAAAAAAUCAAUUUUUAAAAAAUU
ensembl:lncRNA